GAUGAACGCUGGCGGCGUGCUUAACACAUGCAAGUCGAACGGUGAAGGCGGAGCUUGCUCUGCUGGAUCAGUGGCGAACGGGUGAGUAACACGUGAGCAAUCUGCCCCUGACUCUGGGAUAAGCGCUGGAAACGGCGUCUAAUACUGGAUACGAGCUGCGAAGGCAUCUUCAGCAGCUGGAAAGAACUUCGGUCAGGGAUGAGCUCGCGGCCUAUCAGCUUGUUGGGGAGGUAACGGCUCACCAAGGCGUCGACGGGUAGCCGGCCUGAGAGGGUGACCGGCCACACUGGGACUGAGACACGGCCCAGACUCCUACGGGAGGCAGCAGUGGGGAAUAUUGCACAAUGGGCGAAAGCCUGAUGCAGCAACGCCGCGUGAGGGACGACGGCCUUCGGGUUGUAAACCUCUUUUAGCAGGGAAGAAGCGAAAGUGACGGUACCUGCAGAAAAAGCGCCGGCUAACUACGUG
rnacentral:rRNA from 1 species